rnacentral:rRNA from 1 species
GGUUGUCGUCAGCUCGUGUCGUGGAGAUGUUGGGUUAAGUCCCGCAACGAGCGCAACCCCUACUUGUUAGUUGCCAUCAUUCAGUUGGGCACUCUAGCGAGACUGCCGGUAAUAAACCGGAGGAAGGUGGGGAUGACGUCAAAUCAUCAUGCCCCUUAUGACCUGGGCUACACACGUGCUACAAUGGUUGGUACAACGAGUUGCGAGUCGGUGACGGCGAGCUAAUCUCUUAAAGCCAAUCUCAGUUCGGAUUGUAGGCUGCAACUCGCCUACAUGAAGUCGGAAUCGCUAGUAAUCGCGGAUCAGCACGCCGCGGUGAAUACGUUCCCGGGCCUU